CUGAGUUACAAAACUCCCAAACCCUUGUGAAUAUCUACCUAUCGUUGCUUCGGCGGUUGCGUCCCGGUGCCUUCAGUGCUCGGAUUCAGGCGCCCGCCGGAGGCCCCAGAAAACCAUUUGUGCAUCUCGUGGCUUUAUCUGAGUGGUAUAAGAAAAAUCAAUCA
rnacentral:misc_RNA from 1 species